UCAAUCCACGACAGAACUUCGCUGCGGCCGGACUGCUUGGACGGCAGUGCUGUCAGAUUUGGUUGUUAUAAUCACGUGAUUUAGACAAAAGGGCACAAUUCCUCACAACCGGCAGCACUGAAGCGCGAUGCUUGAGCCAAAUUUGUGUGAGUAGGUUUAUGCUGAAUUUAGAUCCCAGUGUCACUCAUUUCUCCUACAUUAUGCUGAAUAACGCACACACACAUAAUCAUCUCUAAGAACAGUGCCGAAUUAGGAAGAGCAUCAACCCCGCCAAAAUGCAACUUUUGUUUGUAAACAAAACCUUUUAACCUCUCUCUCACUGCGAGAGUGUAUCAAAACAACACGCAGUGUGAGUGCCACCGGCAGCAGCAAGCAACACUCAUUCUACCAGUUUUGGCGCGCCGAACAGCUAAAAGACUAAACCGGUACGUGGAUUCGGAUGUCGGUUACAAAACAUCGGAUCCACUAAUGAGAUCGAGAAUUAUUUAACUUAAAAAAUGACACAUCACGGUUAAUCAAGACACGAAGACUAUUUGGAAUGCAAAAUACGACGUGCAAGCGUUCACAACUGCCAAAAGCCGCAAAACCUCAACUGUUGAACAAGGACUGAACAUAUAGAUGAAAAACUAUGUUUAGCAGACGUGGCCAUAUGCUUUCACAAGGAGCACAAGGAGUAUUUAGUAAAAGUUCAGCGAACUUCCGGAAAGAACGCAAAGUAUUCAUCCCAACAAAAAUCUACCGCGAAUGCGUCAGCGAAUAGUAGUGUACGAUCGUCGCGUUCGUCAAUGAGGAACCGGGAAAUAAAACAUCCGGAGGACUUCAUGAUAUCCAUGGAAGAAUUGUGGCAAGUUGCUAAUGAUUCAGUCGGCAACGAGUACCUAGCAUACAUUUCAUUUCUCGUUGAGCAUAGGUUUGGCAUGACGUCCGUAUUAGAGAAGGAUUCUUCUUCGGUAUUUGAAAUUGAUUUCUUCGUUAAUAAGAAAGCAAUGCUGGAUGAGUUAAGGUUUACUGUCAAUUUAGAAAAAGUAAA